AAGUCGUAACAAGGUUUCCGUAGGUGAACCUGCGGAAGGAUCAUUACCAAAGAACAACUGGUUGGGUUGUUGCUGGCCCCCCUCUCCCUGGAGGGGCACUGUGCACGCCUUGCCAAAUUCACUUUGCUCACCUGUGCACCUCCUUGUAGGCCAGGAUCACCAGAGAGGAAGAAGGGGGGGGGAAACGUGUCUCCUGUCGGAGUGCUCAACUUCUUUCCUUUUGCUUGGUGGAGGGAUCUGCUGUUGUGUCCUCACACGGAAUGGGUAUCUGUGAGAGAACAGAUAUAGACGGCUUUUUCCUUGCUCACGUCUGGCCUAUGCCUUUAUUAAACCUGUAACAUCUGUAUCUGUAUGUGUAUUUGAACAUGUGGGAUAACCACGAUUGUUUUUGAACACCAAUACAACUUUCAACAACGGAUCUCUUGGCUCUC
rnacentral:misc_RNA from 1 species